rnacentral:rRNA from 1 species
ACGCUGGCGGCGUGCCUAAUACAUGCAAGUCGAACGAGAGCGACCGGUGCUUGCACUGGUCAAUCUAGUGGCGAACGGGUGAGUAACACGUGGGUAACCUGCCCAUCAGAGGGGGAUAACAUUCGGAAACGGAUGCUAAAACCGCAUAGGUUCUUGAGUCGCAUGACUGAAGAAGGAAAAGAGGCUUCGGCUUCUGCUGAUGGAUGGACCCGCGGUGCAUUAGCUAGUUGGUGAGGUAACGGCUCACCAAGGCCGUGAUGCAUAGCCGACCUGAGAGGGUGAUCGGCCACAUUGGGACUGAGACACGGCCCAAACUCCUACGGGAGGCAGCAGUAGGGAAUCUUCCGCAAUGGACGCAAGUCUGACGGAGCAACGCCGCGUGAGUGAAGAAGGAUUUCGGUUCGUAAAACUCUGUUGUUAGAGAAGAACAGCGCAUAGAGUAACUGUUAUGCGUGUGACGGUAUCUAACCAGAAAGCCACGGCUAACUACGUGCCAGCAGCCGCGGUAAUACGUAGGUGGCAAGCGUUGUCCGGAUUUAUUGGGCGUAAAGCGAGCGCAGGCGGUCAAUUAAGUCUGAUGUGAAAGCCCCCGGCUCAACCGGGGAGGGUCAUUGGAAACUGGUUGACUUGAGUGCAGAAGAGGAGAGUGGAAUUCCAUGUGUAGCGGUGAAAUGCGUAGAUAUAUGGAGGAACACCAGUGGCGAAGGCGACUCUCUGGUCUGUAACUGACGCUGAGGCUCGAAAGCGUGGGUAGCAAACAGGAUUAGAUACCCUGGUAGUCCACGCCGUAAACGAUGAGUGCUAAGUGUUGGAGGGUUUCCGCCCUUCAGUGCUGCAGUUAACGCAUUAAGCACUCCGCCUGGGGAGUACGACCGCAAGGUUGAAACUCAAAGGAAUUGACGGGGA